GCCUGUAUUUCAGGAAUAAUUCCACUUCCAUAUGUGGUAGAGAUGAUUGAAAUGGCAUUAAUAGCACCAAAAAAUCGAUUUUCUUGAGAUCCAUUUAUGGAGUAAUCCUUAGGAGGUGCAUUCUUAGAAUUUCCAAUAUAUAUAGAACCAGCAGUGGCGCAAGCACUGUAAGCAAGAAUGAGGAUCAAAGAGACAAGGUUAAUAUGCCUUAGAGAGUGGAAGGAUGGCAUUUGUGCCAAAACUAAUGUUGCAGCUCCAAAAAUAAUUAUAAACUGGUACAGCUUCAUUUCUCCAUUAGAGUCGUACAGAAGGUAAAUGAACUUAAGGCUCUGCCCCCCAAGAAGAGAGCAGGCAAUAACAGCACCAUAGCAUGUUGCAAAUUGAAGUGGACCCACAAAAUACUUGCCCCAUCCAGGUCCUAGAAUGUCUCUGGCCAUGUCUCGGAAUCGAAGCUGACGCUUGCCAAGUUGUGCUUGAUGCUCCAAAACCACAGACAACAGAUUGUAUGAAUAGAAAGUCACUAGAGCUGCAAGAGUUAUGCUUAAAAUUCCAGGGCCCCAUCCUAACAAGGCCAGAGCAAAGGGAAGACUAAAGAUCACAGGACCAACAAUGGAUGUUGUCAAAUGAUAUCCACAGUGUAACCAUGAUCCUCGCGAUUUGAGGACAAACAGUGCACCAGCAUCAAGUUCUCCUGGAUCAGUUUCCUUAUCUGCUUUCGAUAUGUUGAUAUAGUUUGGAACCACAGUUUCCAUCUCUCCCUGCAUAUUCU
rnacentral:misc_RNA from 1 species